UCUGCCUCCCGAGUGCUGGGAUUAAAGAUGUGCACCACCAGUGCCUGGCGAGCUUUAGUUUUUAAUAUCAUGUUCCACUAAAGUGCUUUAUUAACCCUGACGGCAGGCAUUUGUGGUUCAUAUAUGCCAUGCUGUGUGAAUGAUCAGUGCUGUAGCACAGAAAAUUACCACCUUGCUAUUUGUCUUUUAUGAUCUGUAAGAAAUGAGAAAGGACAAUGUACAGUCUUUGCUACGUUUUAAUAAUAAUAGGUUUUAAGGAAUUAAUUUUUAUGUCUAGUCAGCAAUAUCAAACAAAAUGUACUGAGUACUCCCCAGGUACAGAGUACUGCCAAGUACCUUAGACCCUUCCAUGACAGCUACAACUCUUGCCCCAGGAGCUUACAGCCUGGGGACCUACAACUCAAAGCCUGAGUGGGAGAGUGAGCUAAUUUAAGGCAAAAAUCUCCUCCCCCUAGAGCUAUUAUAGAUGGGAUGAUUUUAGCAGUUGGAACUACCCAAUCAAGAUUAAUUUGGUUGUGGAUUUUUUUUCAGGUUGAACCUGAAAUACAGUUUUUAUUAAGCUCCAUCUAGUAAACAGUGGCCUAGUAGGUGCUGAAUGAAAGCCAAGACUAGAUCUCUUGAAGGACAAGUUUAAGACAUCUUCCUUGUGGUUAUUUACUUGAAAAAGCAAGUAUAUUGAAUGGUGUGGUGAGGUCACUGACAUGUGAAUAUUAAAGUAUAUGGCAUGUCUAACCCACAGAAAGCCCCUCAUGAGUCCUAAUGCUCUGUGUAACAACCAUCCAUCAUGUGCUUUCAAAGUUUUAUUUAUGCCUUGUUACACCAAAAGUAAAUAGUCCAUUCAAAAUAAACUAGUGACCUGCAUAUUUUCAUAUGGAUGAAUGACUGUAUAUCUAAAUAGGAAAUAAAUGGCAAUCCUAUCUACCUAUAUUAAAAAAAAAUAGACAGUCUUUCCAGAUUUUUGCAUACUAAGGAGAGGUACGGGGUCUUAAGGUCUCACAACGGGUGGUCAGGAAAGCAGCAGUUAUCCCGCAACAUCUUGACAUCUGACUCAACUGUUCCUAAAUGAUACAGUUUAAAAGAUACUGUAAACACAUUUUCAAAUCCAUAGUUAUUCUGAGAUGGUUCCAACGUUAACCCUAGAACUACCAGAAAGAAUUAGCAGUACAAUAGAGAAGAGCAGAUAAUCCACCUGACGAUACACGUGCUCUCUUCAGGAAAUCAGUCUGGUCAUCCGGGGAACACUCAGGGUGGGAUGCUCAUCUGGCCAGGUCACACUUUCUAUGCAGGAGACCCAUGGCACCAGGCUAGGUCUCUUCUAAGGAGACUUUGCUAGGCAAUGUAACUAGUCCAGUUCCUCUCAGAGCAGUUCUACCCACUUCAACUCACAGCGUGGCAUUGAAACCAGAAGAGCAUACUGGAGCAGAAGUGAGCAGAGACGUAGACUCUUGCACAUUCUUAUUGCUGCAUUGUCUGAAGUUCUGCACAUCUACAACAGUGCUGUCCGGGAAACAGGGGAGUAGAGGCAAUGAGAAAAUAGACUAUUCAUUGCACAAUUAAUAGAAAAGUGAAAACGUUUCCAAAUCUACAAUAAACCUGUAUCCAAAGGAGUGAUAGGUGACACUGACUUCUGCCAGAUUCGGACUAUGAUAGGACCACUGUGUACAUACUCAAGUGAGUGCUGUCCAUAGGAAGAGAAGAUUAUGGUCACAAACCUUUGGUUAACCUUUCAACGUGUUUCUGGAGCUCAAUGUCCACAUUAAAGUGAACGUAAGUAUCUUCUUUCCUUGAAGCCACAGGAGUGUCUUGUACGGGAGUUAAAUCUAUGCCAUUCAAAUCUAGAGAGAAACAAGUUUCCACUUAGGGGCAAUCAAAUUUACUGAUCACCAAAGGCCACAUAUCCUGCAGAGGUGGAAUAGGGGAGGGAUUCUGGGGCCCUACCUAAUAACUGAAUCUAUGAAUGCUAAACUAUAAAUUAGUUUCCCUGGUCUCUGCUCUCAACCCCCACCCUCUUUGUUUUUGAGACAGCCCUGACUGUCCUAGAACUCCAUCUGUGGACAAGGCUGGCCUGGAACUCAGAGAUCUGCCUAUAUGUGCAGGGGCCUGGAACUGCUGUGGUCCAUGGGUGUGUGGAGUGAGCUGACCUGAGAGGAUGGAGACCACAGGGUUGGAAAAAUAAGUCUGCAGGAGAUCCAAUUUGAUCUUUAAGAAGGGGAAGAACUUUCUGUUUCCUGAGGACACAUAUGUGCAACAAAAAUCUGGACUUUAUAUACUCUGCUACAAUGCGGCCAGUCCUCAGCUGCUAUUUCCCAACAAUGAUCAAGGGCAUGGCUGGAAAGGCCUUAAAUCUAAAAUGAAGUCAGAAUUCCUCAGUUGUAUUCAAGUCAGAUGGGCAUGAGAGCUGCCAAAACCAAAGCAAAAGGAAACAAAACCAAAUAAGC
rnacentral:lncRNA from 1 species